rnacentral:rRNA from 1 species
UAAGGAAUAUUGGUCAAUGGACGCAAGUCUGAACCAGCCAUGCCGCGUGAAGGAUUAAGGUCCUCUGGAUUGUAAACUUCUUUUAUCUGGGACGAAAAAAGGCGAUUCUUCGUCACUUGACGGUACCAGAUGAAUAAGCACCGGCUAACUCCGUGCCAGCAGCCGCGGUAAUACGGAGGGUGCAAGCGUUAUCCGGAUUCACUGGGUUUAAAGGGUGCGUAGGCGGGCAGGUAAGUCAGUGGUGAAAUCCUAGAGCUUAACUCUAGAACUGCCAUUGAUACUAUCUGUCUUGAAUAUUGUGGAGGUAAGCGGAAUAUGUCAUGUAGCGGUGAAAUGCUUAGAUAUGACAUAGAACACCUAUUGCGAAGGCAGCUUACUACGCAAUCAUUGACGCUGAGGCACGAAAGCGUGAGGAUCAAACA